rnacentral:rRNA from 1 species
UACAGAGGGUGCUAGCGUUAAUCGGAAUUACUGGGCGUAAAGCGCGCGUAGGCGGCUUUGCAAGUCGGGUGUGAAAUCCCCAGGCUUAACCUGGGAACUGCAUUCGAGACUGCAUUGCUAGAGUAUGGGAGAGGGGAGUGGAAUUCCCGGUGUAGCGGUGAAAGGCGUAGAUAUCGGAAGGAACACCAGUGGCGAAAGCGACUUCCUGGACCAAUACUGACGCUCAUGUGCGAAAGCGUGGGGAGCAAACAGG